GUGAUGUCCCACUUCCCCGGCUCGCCGGUGAGCCGUUCGGACCCCACGUGGUCGCCGCCGGCAAGCACCCCCAGCACGCUCUCGCCGCCGUACUUGCCCUCGGUCGUCCUGCGCAGCUUGCCGUGGGCGACGAGCACGAGCUGGUCGGCGGGACGCCCUUCCUCGAUGAUCGUCUCGCCCGGCCCGAAGUCGCGCUGUUCGCAGCGGUUCGCGAGCGCUUCGAGCACUCCGCGGUCCUCGUAGCCGCGCAGCAGCGGGAGUUCGGUCAGCUCCAGCGGGACGACCCGUACCUCGGCGCCUGUCGCGGUGAAUUCGACCCGGCCGUCGCCGAGGGUGUGCGUCAGGCGCCUGUUGACGCGGAAGGUGCCGCCGGGAACGUGGACCCAGGGAAGGACCUUCAGCAGCCACCGCGAGGUGAUGCCCUGCAUUUGCGGGGGCGUCUUUGUCGUGGUGGUGAGAUUGCGUGCGGCGCCUGUCGCGAGACUCGACUGCGCGUUCUGCG
rnacentral:antisense_RNA from 1 species